rnacentral:lncRNA from 1 species
AUUUGACUUUAUUUUAUAUGAAAAUUAUCAACUAAAGAAAAAUAUUUAUUUAUAAUAAUUCUUAGAAUUUGUUUCCAUUGUAAAAAAAAAAAAAAAAAAAAAAAAAAAAAAAGAGUAAAAAAAAAAAAUAAAAAAACUGCUACAUAACCUGGAAUUAGAAAUCUCACCAUCCAGCAAAAGCAAGAAAAAAAACGGUUUCCAAAAAAAGAAAGAAAGGCAAUUCCAUGGCUUUAAAAAAAAAAAAAAAAAAAAAAAUCAAUCAAACAUCCUCCAAAGUGGAAGCUGGAAUUGAUUUUCCAACUUCCAUGGAAAAUAAUACCUAAUCAAACGAUUCCUUAAUAUUUAACUGACUAUAGUAAAAAUUGUCUCAAAUUUGGAAAGCGUUGUCUUAAUAUAUAUAAUAUCAAAUCCUAAAUAAGUAAAAGAACAUAAUCCUAUUUUACAUUAUAUUUAAAAAC